ensembl:lncRNA
UGACUAUACAUAGAUAAUAAACAGUAGUACAGGUUAAAGGUCAUUUGUAUAUGUAGGUAGGGGUGAAGUGACUAUACAUAGAUAAUAAACAGUAGUACAGGUUAAAGGUCAUUUGUAUAUGUAGGUAGGGGUGAAGUGACUAUACAUAGAUAAUAAACAGUAGUACAGGUUAAAGGUCAUUUGUAUAUGUAGGUAGGGGUGAAGUGACUCCGAUGGCCAUUCGAUGAAUUGUUCAGCAGUCUUCUGCCUUGGGGGUAAGAAGCUGUUCAGGAGCCUUCUGGUCCUAGACUUGGCGCUCUGGUACCGCUUGCCGUGCGGUAGCAGAGAAAACAAACAGUCUAUGACUGGGGUGGUUGGAGUCUUUGACAACUUUUAGGGCCUUCUACUGACACCGCCUGGUGUUGAGGUCCUGAAUGGCAGGAAGCUUGGCCCCAGUGAUGUACUGGGCCGUACGCACUACCCUCUGUAGUGCCUUACGGUCAGAUGCUGAGUAGUUGCCAUACCAGGCGGUGAUGCAACCGGUCAGGAUGUUCUCGAUGGUGCAGCUGUAGAAUUUUUU